GAGGGUGCAAGCGUUAAUCGGAAUUACUGGGCGUAAAGCGCACGCAGGCGGUCUGUCAAGUCGGAUGUGAAAUCCCCGGGCUCAACCUGGGAACUGCAUUCGAAACUGGCAGGCUAGAGUCUUGUAGAGGGGGGUAGAAUUCCAGGUGUAGCGGUGAAAUGCGUAGAGAUCUGGAGGAAUACCGGUGGCGAAGGCGGCCCCCUGUACAAAGACUGACGCUCAGGUGCGAAAGCGUGGGGAGCAAACAGGAUUAGAUACCCUGGUAGUCCACGCCGUAAACGAUGUCGACUUGGAGGUUGUGCCCUUGAGGCGUGGCUUCCGGAGCUAACGCGU
rnacentral:rRNA from 1 species